UUAGCUGGAAAAAUAGCUCUCUGCAACUCUCACGGUUGCUCACUGAAGCUAAGCAGGGCAGAGCCCGAUCAGUACCUGGAUGGGAGACCACAUGCGAAAGCUAGGUUGCCGUCGGAA
rnacentral:rRNA from 1 species